CACGGAACAACAACGAGGAUAGUCGGGAGAACUUGUUAAUUAUCCAGGAUUUACUUCAUCAUCCCCUGUGAUAAUGAUUGUGUACUGUGUUCUAGACUUGUCCAGUUUGAAACUAAGGAAAAUCAAGGACCACGUGCCACUUUAGUGACUGAGGCUCGCGUUUUCAUCGAACCGACCCCAUCUGAAGAUCUCCUGGUGCCCUUAAUUAAGAAUACGGAGGGAUUAGUAAAGAUAUAUCCGUCAAGCUGGAGGUUUUGAAAAAUAAUUUCUAGAAGCGAUGUCUUAAUACUGUUCUUGCAAUUUAUGCAAGUUGCAAAGUGGAUUAUUGAAGGUAUUACAACAGGCUGCUCCGGAAUUUAAUGGGCCAUUGUCACAAGAAGAUUAAGGUGUGAAGUCUAUACAUUGUUUUAAUUGAAGAAAUACUAAGAACAACCAGUGACCUGAAGAAUAUAUCAGUAUUUAUGAACCAGAUAUUGAAAAUUUCGCACCUCAACUAAUAUUUAAAAUAAUAAGAAAU